UCAAGAUUCAACCAUCUAGCUCUCCAUCUCCAUCUCCACUCACGGUGUGUACCCUCAAUCCCCGGAUAGAACGAUCCCUACUUACUUAUACUACUAACGACAUUUCAGGGUUAAAUUGCGCGCUUGCUUUUAAGCGCAUCAAUAAGUUAAGCUAUUCUUCUUGCAAUCCUAAAGGUUCACGACACUGUAACGUAAUCAAUUUGUGGAUGUGUAAAUUGGACCGUUACAUAUCUAAAUUUUAAUACACCAUUCCAAAUUCGUAGGAUCA